UUUGUGAUUUUAUUAUUCUCUUUGUGAGUUUUGAUAUAUUGAUGAUAGUUCCGACAGUAUGAAAUUUAACUUAAAUUCUAAAGGAUCGAUCUUUCUUGAGUAUUUUUUCUUACUUGUUUUGUUUGACUUGUUUUAUACAAAUUGUUAUGUAUUUUUUUCUAAUUGAACUUUAUUUUAUUUAUUUUGUUUCCUUGUACUUAUUAGUAG
rnacentral:lncRNA from 1 species